AGUCAUAUGCUUGUUUUGAAGGCUAAGCCAUGCAUGUGCCAGUAUCAACUCUUGGAUGGUCAAGCUGCAAAUGGCUCAUUACAUCAUUUACGACUUAUGUGGCAGCACGUGUAAAUGGGUAGCUAUGGCAAUUCCGCAGCUAAUUCAUGCAUUUGGCAUAACUAUCUAGGACAUGUGGUGGUUGUUGACUAAACUAACACCAAGCCUACACUUGGAGUGCAUGAGAAAAGGGCAACUGCAUUGAUCUGGACAGACUUUGGUGAUGCACUACUUAGGUUUCUGACCUAUCAGCUAUUGUUGGUAUGGUAUUGGCUUACUCUGGCAUUUACGGGUGACGGGGAAUUAGGGUUUGAUUCCGGAGAGGGAGCCUUAGAAAUGGCCACCACAUCUAAGGAAGGCAGCAGGCGCGCAAAUUUCCCAAUCCUAGCGCAGGGAGGUAGUGACAAGAUAUAACAAUACAGGGCAAUUAUGUUUUGUAAUUGGAAUGAAUUUAUUGUAAGGCAUUUUGUAACUAGCAAUUGGAGGGCAAGUCUGGUGCCAGCAGCCGCGGUAAUUCCAGCUCCAAAGGCAUAUAUUAAAAUUGUUGCGGUUAAAAAGCUCGUAGUUGGACUGUAUCAAAGGUGGGAUGGUCUGCCCUCUGGGUAAGCAUCACACCCUUCUUUGUUAUGUUUUGUGAAAAUCUGCGUUGCGCUUGACUGUGUGGUGUGGUUGCUUGCACAUCUACUUUGAGGAAAUCAGAGUGUUCCACGCAAGUGUGCGCCAUGAAUAUAAUAGCAUGGGAUAGUCGAAUGUAUACAUAGAUAUGUUUGUUGGUUCAAAACGUGUGUUUACUAACAAGAAUAGUUGGGGGCAUCUGUAUUUGACUGUCAGAGGUGAAAUUCUUGGAUUUUUCAAAGACAAUCUACUGCAAACGCAUUUGCCAAAUAUGUUUCUAUUGAUCAAGAGCGAAAGUUAGGGGAUCGAAGACGAUCAGAUACCGUCGUAGUCCUAACCAUAAACCAUGCCAACUAAACAUUGGAGGUUGUUAUCUGUUGAUGCUUUCAGCACCUUAUGAUAAAUCAAAGUUUUUGGGCUCCGGGGGGAGUAUGGUCGCAAGGCUGAAACUUAAAGGAAUUGACGGAAGGGCACCACCAGGAGUGGAGCUUGCGGCUUAAUUUGAUUCAACACGGGGAAACUCACCAGGCCCGGACAUAUUUAGGAUUGACAGAUUGAAAGCUCUUUCUUGAUUCUAUGGGUGGUGGUGCAUGGCCGUUCUUAGUUGGUGGAGUGAUUUGUCUGGUUAAUUUCGUUAACGAACGAGACCUUGUCUGACUAAAUAAUUACGUGCACGUAUCACUGCAUGGGCAAUUUCUUAGAGGGACUUUGCGUGCUUAACACAAGGAAGUUUGAGGUGAUAACAGGUCUGUGAUGCCCUUAGAUGUUUUGGGCUGCACGCGUGCUACACUGGUUUAAUUAACGAGCUGCUGGUCUUGUUUGAAAGCGUGGGGUAAACUUUAAUGUAAAUCGUGAUUGGGGUGGAUUGUUGCAAUUAUUGAUCUUGAACGAGGAAUUCCUAGUACGCCGAAGUCAUCAGCUUGGGCUGACUACGUCCCUGCCCUUUGUACACACCGCCCGUCGCUCCUACCGAUUGAGUAAUCCGGUGAAAUGCUUGGCUUGGCACAGUGGUCAUAAAUGAGUGUUGUGCAAUAAGUGCUUUGAACCUUGUUACUUAGAGGAAGGAGAAGUCGUAACAAGGUUUCU
rnacentral:rRNA from 1 species